rnacentral:sRNA from 1 species
AUCCAUUUCCAUUUCCAUUUCCAUCAUCAUACAUAAGUCAAUUCCUUCAUAUGUACAUACAUAACUACAUAAAGCAGAGAAAAUGAGCAGGAAAAGGAGAGAGUAAGGGAUGACAAGAGCAAAAAAAAAAAAAAAAAAAAAAAGCCCCAUCCUGCCCAUGAACCAACUCAAGUAAAACACACACACACACACACACACACACACACACACACACACACACACACACACACACACACACACACACGCAAAAAAAGAAAGAAAGAAAGAAAGAAACGAAGAAGAGAAAAAAGAUUUGGAAACGCAUUACCCCCUAGGAUACCCGACUAUCAUAAUCUUCCCCCUCACUGUCACUCAAACUAUCUCUCCUUCCCCUCCCUCCCCCUCCGCCUCGCCCUCCAUCAUCAG